CAGGCCUGGUGGGCCCCAGCAGGGAGACACAGAGGACUGGGAAUCUCAAGGCUGGCAGAGGCCAGAGAUGGAACCCCAGCUGGGAAGCCGUCCUCCUUCCUGGAGGCCCACCCUGCCCAGCCCCUGCAGCCCAGCACAGCUUGGGGCAUUGGAUAGAACCGGGAGAGAGCAGGCCGGGCACUGAGGCCCCUGCCCCAAAUGCCCACAGCCUGGGGAAAAUGAGCAGGUGAUAUUUCGCUGAGAUUGUGGACUAAGAGUUGGUGCUGGAAGGGGUUAGCCAUCGUGAAGAUGUUGCUAUGGGAUGCAGGGAUUUUGCAUUCUUUGCAGGUGCGAUCAAGUUCAGAUGAGGUCACCCUGGAGUAGGGCAAGCCUCUGAUCCAAUAUGACUGCUGUCCUCAUGAAAAGGGGGAAUCUGGGCACAGACAGCACGUGGAGAGAACCGCCUGUGAAGAUGGCGCUGCUUCCACAAGCCAAGAGCAGCAGAGACGGCCAGCAAUGCCCAGCAGCAAGGAGAGAGCCUGGGACAGAGUCUCCAUGACACAGAGGAGCCAGCCCCACCGAGGACUCCAUCCCAGAUGCCCGGACUCCAGAACCAGGACAGAAUAAACGUCUGUUGUUUCAUCUGUUGUUUAAGCCACGCAGUCUGGGGUGCUGUGUUGCCAGGGCCUCAGCUAACGAUACGAGUGUUGUCCUGAGCUGCCAUCCCCACAGGCUGCAGGAGGCCUCCCUGCCCCAGCCCAGCGCAGUCUCCCCAGCCCCCUGGGUAUGCCAUGGGCAGUGGGGGGCCCCUCACUCCGUCCUCCCCCAGCCUGGGAGGUUGAGCCCAUUAUGAGCUCCAUGUAACCAAGGUGAAGCCAGAGCCAGAGGCUGGGAGCCGAUUGGGAGCCUGCGGCUGGAGGAUGGAUUUCCCCAGGGACCCACACGUGCACCUCCACCUGUCUCCUGGACAUUCUCUCUGA